GGAAGGAUUCCUGUCCUGUCUACUAAGAAAUGUUAAGUCAAUGUCACAAUUGUCACCUCUUCAGAGCCGUGAGGUUUGUUUGUUGUUUUGUACUGGACUAUGUUCUUCUAAGCAUCAAAAUGCAACCUCUCGAUUCUGGUCCUGAUGGUUCUCUAGACUCCUGCCUGGCUUGCCACUUGCUCUUCUUGUCUUGCCUACACUGAGUCAUGUUGCAGUUUCCCUUCUGGCUCCCAGCCUUACACUAACUCUGGAACACUCAGAGCUGAUAGGCCAGCCCUGCUAGGGAGACAGAGGACUCCCUGGCCUGCAUGAGACGUGCUCAUCUCAUUCUGACUCCUCCUUGCUGCCUGGCUCUCCUGUUCUCUGGCCCAACUCUCCUUCCUGUGAUCUGACCAGGUUCUAGGCGAGGCAGUAGCAUAGGAAGGAUCCAUUCAUAUCUCCAUCUGUGUUCAGCAGGACAGAAAGGUUCCCUAAGAAUGAAGAGAUGGUAUUAAAGAACCCUUCUUGAAGAAAUCACCAUUUGGCCCAUCAGGUCUCCUUUGAUGUCUAUAUUUGAAAGGUGGCAUUGUUGUUAAUACUCGGGGAAUGCAUUCCCCAUCUCUAACUGAACUAGCCCUAGUGAAACCCCUAGGGCUCUUCCCUUGCUUCGGGGACACUUUACCUUCUAUGGAGACCUCUAGCAAGAACCACAAAGACCAUGAUGGCGCCUAUUCUUUUAUGGCCUACACUCCAGUUAGUGCAGACCUUAGGGUGAAUUGCAACCUACGUCGCCUCUUGACCCUCCUCUUGAGUUGAGGUCUUCAUCCAGGAAAAGCCUGCUGUCUUGCUGAUCUCCUUAUUCCCUGGCAUGGCCAGAGCCCUCUGUCCCUUCACGGAGAGCAGCCAAACCAGGAUGAAGACCGUGCACUUGGUCUCACAGAGAAACAACUUUUGCUUCUCUUUCAUGGGAAAGAAAUUAACAAAUUAUUUUCUCCAUACAGACCCUCAGUUUCAGCCCCUGUUCUUAAAGCAGAGAUGGUAUUUACAGCUAAUGAAACCACAAGAAAGAGAACUCCUUUUGUAGGGAGCUGGCACCUUUUGGUUUCCUUUCUAUAACCCACAUGCUCCACAGAUAAGGUGAAAUGGAUGUGUAGCCCCACAGACAGUCUAAAAUGAAACAAGGGGCAUUUCCUAGAAGCUGCAGGGGAAGCAUGUUGGAGCAUAUGGAGCGGAGUAGACAUGCACAUCCCCACGCUCUCUGUGGAGAGGAGAACUGUGACUGUGUGUACCAUGGGAAAGAAGAUGACACCCUCCAUCAGCAAGGCAGCUAAUUUGGUCUUGAAAAGAGCAAUGAUUUGGGUACAAAGCAAUCAUGUUCAACUGCAUAAGUUGGAUUCUGUGUGCUGUGUUCCCGGUUAGUCCCUAUCCUGUUCUUGAUGUUCUCUGCAAAAGAGAAUAGAAACACUAUCCCUAUAAAAUCUUCGUGAGGCCUAUACUAGCCUGUCCCACCUGGACCCCUCUCCUAUGCAAAUGACUCUCUAGAAUAAGAGAAGAGGAGGAGAAAAUGAUAGACCAUCCAAGGGAAAUAUGCAUAAAGAUUACCUCCUCCAGUGGCUAACAACUCACAUGAAUCCCAGAUCAAGGAAGAAGAGACUCCGUAAUGACAGCUCACUUGCCUUCUUUCUCCCCCAAAUCUCUAUCUUUACAAGGCCAUCCUGUCAAAGCCCAAGUCCAUCAGACCUGUGUUGGAAUCACAUCUUUGAAGUGAGCAUCCUGCUGUGUCUCAUGAUCCUCCCUGUGUGUAAUUGCUCUAAGAACCAGGUAGCUGAUGCACAGAAGCUUCAGCCCAGGGUCUGAUGGUAGUCGUGUUACUUCUGUCAUUUUCAUCAGGAGUAACAUCUUCUGUCCACUGGCUAAGAAAGCUUUUAAUAGACACACUGCUGACUGAGAAUUUUCCUCCCAUUGUAGUUCAUUUCAUUCCCCAGAAAAUUUCUCAACCCUUCCUGAUUCUGUUGGAACAUGUGUGAAAUUCAUUACUUCACAGACUCGGAGUCUUCCUGCCUCGAAGCCAUUCCAUAGCUGUGCCAAAACACACGAGUCUGCUGACAACAUAUUACUGCAUCUAUGAAACGGAGACGGGGCAGCCUGACCCAUGCUUCAGGGCAGAGUGUGUGUGCUUAUGAACAGAAUCACCUUCAACCCAGAUACAAUCUUUAUUGUUAUGACUUAUCUCUGCUUCUUCCUGAGUACUGGCAAGAUGGACCAGCUAUGGAAAGGCUUUCCGAGACCACCCUGACUGUUGGAGAGAAAAGGACAUCUGAACUGAGUGCUGUCUUGAGAAUUAUCCCCACUGUGUGGAAACCAUUACCCCAGGGGUACAUCCUGAGCCUCAGCGGCCAAUGAUCCCAGAAAGAUAGCAGCUAGAAGCAAAACCACGAACUUGGUUCACAGAGAUUUCUUGGUGCACUGUCACUCUCCCUUGUUGCAUGUAUAUCACACCAUACUCUGGGUUGUGGAGAGAUUUGUCUUCCUUAGCGGUAAGCACUCCGUGAUUCACUCUUUACCAAGAACUAAGGAAGAGGAAGUUCAGCAAAUCCUCCCCUUUAGGAGUUGGCCCAGGAUUAUGUAAGUGGGUUGAGAGGAAUAGUAGAAACAGAUGAUUUUAAUUCACCUCAUCUGUUCAGUACCUGCAGCGCAGAUGCGGUGUUUGUGAGCAUUGCAGCAUCUGUUUCAUUAUACUGUUACCACAUCCCUAG
rnacentral:lncRNA from 1 species